rnacentral:lncRNA from 1 species
CUUUUUUUUUUUUGAAGAUGUGAAAUCUUGUACUGGUCGUUGGUUGUUUCUCUUUCAGUACAAUCAGAAAAUAGUGGAAUACUGAAUUAUGGGAAGCUUCCAUUAUCUCAGGUGUCAACAUUCCAUAGGUUGGUGUGGGGGCAGUUUUUAUGUUCUAUAAUACAAAGCAUACUAAAUGGAAUAAAUGGAAAUUUAGAGUCACAGUUAAACAUUCGACUUAUGUCUUCUCUUUUAAGCAUUUUAAACUACCUCUAUUAUAUUGAUUUUUAGAAGAAUUGUUUUCUAAAGAAAACUGCUUCCUGAUGUUGGCGCAGUGCUGUGUUUAGUCAUUCCUCCCAAUGCCAGUGAUCCCUUAAAUCUGGGUGUUGUCCAUCAUCAUCCCUGCCCGUCUCCGUGCAUCCACAACUGCCACAUCCUGAGAGCUCAGUCCAUCAUGGCAAGUUCAUCAAACUGUGUGCUUAGAAGCUCUGGAGCAGAACUCUCACCCACCAGAAGAUUGCCUCAAGAGAUAAAAGAUGAUUUACAACCCAAAGUAUGCCCACUAGAGGUUUUGGCCAUUUUUACAAUGUAUUCCUGCCCAUGAAGAUGCCAACUUGACUGCCCAAUACAUAAAGCACCAAAGCAAGUAUGCGGACCCCCCCACACCUCCUCACUUCUGCUCCUGUGUAGACCCCCAUCUUUAAAAGCACUUACUUUCUCCUGCAAAAGCAAAUCAGACCCUUACAGCAGGAAGGCUUUUCUUCUUCUCCUAAACUAGCUUUGGAAUAAAAAGUUAUUU